UACGGAGGGGGCUAGCGUUGUUCGGAAUUACUGGGCGUAAAGCGCACGUAGGCGGCUUUGUAAGUUAGAGGUGAAAGCCCGGGGCUUAACUCCGGAAUUGCCUUUAAGACUGCAUCGCUAGAAUUGUGGAGAGGUAAGUGGAAUUCCGAGUGUAGAGGUGAAAUUCGUAGAUAUUCGGAAGAACACCAGUGGCGAAGGCGACUUACUGGACACAUAUUGACGCUGAGGCGCGAAAGCGUGGGGAGCAAACAGG
rnacentral:rRNA from 1 species